CUGACGCCGGCGCGGUCCGCUGCGCCGCGCCUGGCGCUGGCGCAGAUGGCCUGCGGCCAGCAGCUCGAUGGUUGGACGCUGUUGCGUCAAU
rnacentral:tRNA from 3 species